AAUUCGGGGUAAGGAUCCUGUUAAGAGAUUUCCCACUUCUAUUCAUAUGUUAUUGAAAGUUUAUCUUUAAUUUUAGUGUUAAUAGUUGUUUACCCAUUUAUUCUUUCUAUUUAAUUGUAUUUUAUGAUUUUACUGUUUCACUAGAAGUGAAGCUGAAGUAAAGACAAAGGCAUAGUGUUCUCAGAUAUGAUUCACCCAGUACAUCUCCUCUGUACCUGGCUCUCUACGAGCCGUUUCACUCCCAGGAAGGGGAGAGCAGGACGUUCUUAUCUACACUCCCAAAUACAAAGAGGGGCCCAUUCUUCAGAAUCACACACACACACUCUGAGAUCAUAAACUUCACACACACACACACAUACUCUGAAACGCUAUAAAUAAAGAACUGCCGCAUACGCUGGUUGUGAGCCUGAGACAGCAGCACUCACCCAGCGUGCGCACGUUGUUACCAUCUAAACUGUCUUGAGUGUCUUUAUUUCGCCUGAAGAAUGUCUUGUUUAAAUAUUUACUCCUUACAUUUAUUUGGUCCUUCGAGCCAACAGAGUGACCUCGUCGUCUCCUGGAAUCGUGAACCCGCGCUGAAAGUCUGUCCGGACAGCCUGUUUCCAGUGAAACAGUAAAGACCAACUACGUGAAUUCGCCGUUGGCCAGCGUUUUUAGCAAGAGGUCCACGAUCCCAGGGAGCGAGGAGGAUUCUCUCUGACCGGCAUUUUCGUCCGAACCAGAGCAGGAGCUACAUGAGGACACAUCAGAGGGAGGAAAACAGCUAUUAAAGCUCGAACAUGCAGCUGUUCAGAACCCAGUUUUCACCCUCACACCCCUGAUCUGUUUUUAACAGCAGCUUUUUGCAUCCUGUCUCAUGUGUGUAAAGCGUUCAUGCCAUCAGCAACUUGUUUUUGUUUUUUGUUUGUUUCUUGAUGUUGCUUGAGUGAGGAAUACUGUGACUUCUGAAACAGCUCUCUUCAUGCAACUUCAUGCUUGAUGAUGAUAAUUUCAGAGCCAGCUGAGAGCUGGGUUGAGAGCGAUGCUUUGUUUUAAGUGACAAAGCAGAAAAGUUAAACUUAGUUUGUUUUUGUUUGUUUGUUUGUUUUUUAAUACGAGAGAAUGGUAAUGGAUAAGAAGUGAUAUUUUGUUUAAGUGUUGAAGAAAGCUAAAUACUGCAACAUACGUCUAGUGCAUGAUCUGCGAGCAAUGAAUGGAUCAUCUUAUUUAUCUUUAAAUAAACUCCGAUUAUGGAGACCUGAGUCACAUACUUAGGGCACACCCUUAGGUGAAGGCAGAAAGCUACUAAACAAAGAAAAGAAGCUAUAUACAAUGCGCGAUAGCCACAAGAUUAAGCAUUCACAUUCUUUCUGACUCUUAAUGAGCCUGAGUUAUGACCUUGGCUCCCUAUUUUUCUGCCUCCACCAGAGAUGGGAGUGAAGCUCCCGUGGAAUGUGCUCUGUUCUCCUUACUGCAUCUAUAAAAAUAGCAUUCAGUAACUUGGAUAUAACCUUUCUACUUACAUUUAGGUGGAAGUGCAGACUAGAUGAAAACAGUUAAAUUCAACAAAGAGUUCGAUUACUCUGGAGAAAAGGGAAAUGUGUCUGUAACAGGAAAACGUGUAACAGGAACUACAUGCCCAUACAAAGGAGCUGACUGUGUCAAGGACGCAGACAGACAGAGAGACACAGAGACAGCCAAUAUGUUUACUCUAACUGUUUUAAUAGUUUUGCAAUUUUCAUUAGUUUUAUUUUUCUUUAGUUUUGACUUAAGAUUUUAAAACUAAACACAUUUUUGCUACAAAAUCAGUUAAUUUUGUGA